rnacentral:rRNA from 1 species
UACGUAGGGUGCAAGCGUUAAUCGGAAUUACUGGGCGUAAAGCGUGCGCAGGCGGCUAUGUAAGACAGAUGUGAAAUCCCCGGGCUCAACCUGGGAACUGCAUUUGUGACUGCAUGGCUAGAGUACGGCAGAGGGGGAUGGAAUUCCGCGUGUAGCAGUGAAAUGCGUAGAUAUGCGGAGGAACACCGAUGGCGAAGGCAAUCCCCUGGGCCUGUACUGACGCUCAUGCACGAAAGCGUGGGGAGCAAACAGG